GUUUUACACUUAAUCUUAGAACUUCAGAUAAGUUCAAGUGUUGACAAGUUCAUUGGCUGAUACA